rnacentral:lncRNA from 1 species
AAGUGAAUGCAAUCAAGAAGAGAAUAAAUAAUGUAAAAGAUGAAAUAAAUACAGCCAAGAAAAGAAAUGAAAGCGGUCAAAAGGGACAGAAAAGGAUAGCAUUUACUUACUUACUUACUUACUUGAUUAAUUCAUUCAAUGGAGACGUUAUUGAUUUUUGAUUUUAUGAAGACUGCAAGUUCCUUUUUUUUUUUUAGGGCGUUUUUGUUUUUUUCUGGAAUAUAAUUACAUUCAAGAUAUGAUAGCAGAAAUGAAGCUCCAGCUAAUAAUGCUUAUGGUGAUCACUAUGCUGGUUCAACUCUCGGCGGCCUUCUCGCUCUGGGAUCUUUUCUUCAAGAGGCCUACGUGGUUUAGGUCGAGGAUCUCGAGGAACAGGCCCUCAUGGAUGCCUCACCUCCAAAACUACGGCUACUGGAACGGCUAUGACAUCGACGGCUAUACAGAGAGUGGAUAAGAAAGUCCUCAUGCAGUUCAGCCGUCCGUUUAUUCUUCGCAGAUGGAAUAUUAAACGUACUGCAGAUGUUCAGCUGCAUUAAAAAUGUUCUAUUGUAAUGUUAUUUGUUAUGUUAUUGAAUUAUUUAUUUAUAUAUUUCCUACAAACUUUCUGCUUUUGUUGUUUUCUUAAGUUAUUGCUCACGCUGAAAGAACAUAAUUUUCCUAAGCAAAACAUGUGUCAAAAUAUCAAAAGAAUUGUUAAAUGUUAACUGUUAGUGCUGGGUUAGUUUGGAUAAGCGUGUAAGUUGUUAUUUAUAAGUUAUCUCUUAAGAAAUCGAAAUAUAUUUUUCAUGUUGA